UACGUAGGGUGCAAGCGUUAAUCGGAAUUACUGGGCGUAAAGCGUGCGCAGGCGGUUUUGUAAGUCUGUCGUGAAAUCCCCGGGCUUAACCUGGGAAUUGCGAUGGAGACUGCAAGGCUGGAGUCUGGCAGAGGGGGGUAGAAUUCCACGUGUAGCAGUGAAAUGCGUAGAGAUGUGGAGGAACACCGGAUGGCGAAGGCAGCCCCCUGGGUCAAGACUGACGCUCAUGCACGAAAGCGUGGGGAGCAAACAGGAUUA
rnacentral:rRNA from 1 species